rnacentral:lncRNA from 1 species
AAGGACACCGGCGUAGUGAUCGUCGAGAAGACGACGACGGCGGCGGCGGCCAAGGCGACGCCGGCGGCCGUGAAGAAGAUCGUCGAGGAGAAGAAAAAGGAGGAGGCCAAGAACAAACAAGAAGCUGUCACCGAUGAUAAGAAGAAGGAGAAGGUGAUUCCGACCAAGGUCGCCAUUGAUGAGAAGAAAGAGGAUGUAGUAGUGCCAAUGAAGGAGGAGUUCGUCAAGGAGAAGGAGAAGAUCACUGACGCCAAGAACGACGUCGCAUCAACCGAGAAUGUCGCCGCCGUCGAUGAGAAAAUUAAAGCAGAGGAGGACAAGAACAAGAACAAGAACGACGACGAGGUUGUUGCCACGGCAACAAUGGAGGCAGCCGUCGAGGAGGAAGACGACGACGAGGCGGCAUUAGCCGAGGACGACGACGACGACGACGAGCAGCCCAACGACGACGAAAGCAUCACCUUCGCGGUUGCCCCCGUCGCCGAGGACGACGAAGGCAGCGUCACCUUCCCCGGCGCCCGUGCCCGGCCGGUCGUCGCCAACGCCGACGAGGUUCAUCAGGAGGAUGACGUCACUAGUGUCACCUCGCCGACGACUGCCCCGGCCACCCUGGAGAAUGACACCAGUAGUAGCGCCGCCGCCGCCUUCCCGGCCGCUGUCCCGGCGCCGGUGGCCGGCGAGGAGGUAGCACAACUAGAGCAACCUAGCUCUUCUAAGUCCAACAAUGGCGAAAUGGAGGCGGUGACCGGAGUUGAUCAGGCAGAAGAUGCCAAGAAGGAGACAAGCAACAUUGAGGUGAUCAAUGUCGAACAGGAGGAGAUCAAGGUCGAGGAGGAGGAGGAGAAGAUCAUCGUCUCACAGGAGACAGAGGAGGAGGAGGAGAAAUCCGCUGUCAUUUCGAGAGAUGAGAUCACCAAGGUCGAAGUCGAACGCGAGGAGAUCAAGGUCGAACACGAGGAGAUCAUCGAGGCCAUGACAACAACAAAAACGGAUGAAAAAGGAGAGGAGCAGGUCGCUACGGAGAAAAAGGAUGACGAACAAGAACAACAAGCCACCGCCGCUCCAAUUGAGUCGCCCAAACAAGAACAACAAGCCACCGCCGAUCCAAUUGAAGCACCGCUGAAUUGAAAUUUGAAAAUGAGACGCAUCGUACCAAACAAAAUGCAUUGCUGCAUGCCUCCACGAAAUGUCCAAUUUUUCUCCCUUCAGUUUAUUAGCAAGAAACUGUACAUGAUGCUUAUCUGUUCUUGUUGGUUAAAUACUUCAUCUUCAACUGAGAUGAUGACUGCUGUUUUGUGCAAUUUCGAGUAUUUAACGUUGAUUAGCAUGUGCUGUAUAUGUAUUAUUUAAUAAGCACGUAGAUUAGGGGUUGCUUGGCUUGUAAUACAGCCACGAGGGGAUCAGUAAAUUGAUCUCUCAU